GCUCCACCAUCUUUUAGUUUUCUUAAGAGAAAAAUUUUCCGUAUGUAGCUGUAGACUCAGGGUGUCUGUGGGAGGAGGUGAAUUCAGGAUCUUC